rnacentral:rRNA from 1 species
CCUACGGGAGGCUGCAGUGAGGAAUAUUGGUCAAUGGGCGCGAGCCUGAACCAGCCAAGUAGCGUGAAGGCUGACUGCCCUACGGGUUGUAAACUUCUUUUAUAACGGAAUAAAGUGAUGCACGUUUGCCUUUUUGUAUGUACUUUAUGAAUAAGGAUCGGCUAACUCCGUGCCAGCAGCCGCGGUAAUACGGAGGAUCCGAGCGUUAUACGGAUUUAUUGGGUUUAAAGGGAGCGUAGAUGGGUUGUUAAGUCAGGUGUGAAAGUUUGCGGCUCAACCGUAAAAUUGCAAUUGAUACUGGCAGUCUUGAGUACAGUUGAGGUAGGCGGAAUUCGUGGUGUAGCGGUGAAAUGCGUAGAGAUCACGAAGAACACCGAUGGCGAAGGCAGCUUACUAAACUGCCACUGACAUUGAUGCUCGAAAGUGUGGGGAUCAAACAGGAUUAGAUACCCUGGUAGUC